GACCGCAUCGCCAUCUUCGGCUCAGUCUGUCAGUCAGUCACAGUCUGCUGGUCUGCAGCUCCAGUGGUCAGGCAGGAGUUCAUUCUUUUCUGGUGUCUUUGUCUGAAUGUUUUUCUGAGGGCCAGACAAUCCUUUCAACUCUGAAACCUCAGUCUCUGCCUCGUCUCUGUCUCCGAUCCAGGGCUGUGAUUCUGCGCUGAACUGGUCACACCAUCGUUCAAGCGGCUCCUCCUGCCUACAGACGGACGUUUUCCCAGAAGUCCAUGGAACCCAGCAGUGACCUGAAGUUACCAAGUCUCUGGGAUGUAUUGUGGCAGACUUUAAAUGUGAGGAAGAGAAACUCUCAUCACCCAUCACCUCUGUGAGAUGAAAGGCCCCAAAAGCAGCCAGCCACCCUGCUGGACACAGCUCAGCUGUUAUAAGAAGUGUCUGACAGAAGUGGCAGGCUGACCACUCACGCCUCCCCGCCUCGUCGGUGUUGUCAGAGAGCUAACAAUCCCAGCCUGCUGUGCUACACCUGCAUUUAUUUGUUUAUUCCCACUGACUUCUAAUAAGUACUCCUCAUGAGUCCUUGUGGUGGCGCUGAUCUUGACGCUGUGCAGUCCUACUUUCUCCACCUUAUUACUACAGGGGUCUCAUGGCUCAGGGAAAUUUAUUGACAAAGGGUUACAGCACAGAAAAGAAACAAGAAGAACCCAUCCUCUUGUUAUCCUGAUGCAAUUAGAGCCCAUGAGUGGCCCUCAAAUGCCAGUUAAAGUCUGGAGGAUGUCAUCCGAACUUUGUUAUGGCUCCCUGUGUCAGAUAAACUAAGUUUGCCAAGCUUGGAAGUCAAAGUCGAGGUGAUGUGGGAUGAGAAAGGAAAGAGAAGUGUUUGGGGCUUGUACAGAAGCUUAAGGAUGGUUUGUAUCACCUGCAUGGAGCAAAACUUUCCAAAUACAAGCACCACAUCUCAAAUCAACUCCCGGGAUACUGAUAGUGGACUUCCGGAGGUGCAGAGAAGUACACACCCCCAUCACCAUCAACGGUGCUGCUGUGGAG